rnacentral:rRNA from 1 species
AUUGAACGCUGGCGGCAGGCCUAACACAUGCAAGUCGAGCGAGUGGCGGACGGGUGAGUAAUGUCUGGGGAACUGCCCGAUGGAGGGGGAUAACUACUGGAAACGGUAGCUAAUAUCGCAUACUAUCGGAUGAACCCAGAUGGGAUUAGCUAGUAGGUGGGGUAAAGGCUCACCUAGGCGACGAUCCCUAGCUGGUCUGAGAGGAUGAUCAGCCACACUGGGACUGAGACACGGUCCAGACUCCUACGGUAGGCAGCAGUGGGGAAUAUUGCACAAUGGGCGCAAGCCUGAUGCAGCCAUGCCGCGUGUAUGAAGAAGGCCUUAGGGUUGUAAAGUACUUUCAGCGGGGAGGCGUUACCCGCAGAAGAAGCACCGGCUAACUCCGUGCCAGCAGCCGCGGUAAUUC